rnacentral:rRNA from 1 species
UACAGAGGGGGCAAGCGUUGUUCGGAAUUACUGGGCGUAAAGGGCGCGUAGGUGGCCUUCUAAGUUGAACGUGAAAUCCCUGGGCUCAACCCAGGAACUGCGUCCAAGACUGGGAGGCUUGAAUCCGGGAGAGGGAUGCGGAAUUCCAGGUGUAGCGGUGAAAUGCGUAGAUAUCUGGAGGAACACCGGUGGCGAAGGCGGCAUCCUGGACCAGUAUUGACACUGAGGCGCGAAAGCCAGGGGAGCAAACGGG